AAACCAACACUUUACAGCAAGCCAGCACCCUCAACAUGUUCUGAGGGAGUCACUAAUGCAGUACUUGGAGAACACAGCAAAAUCUGACAUUUUUUGAGUAGUCAGGACUUAUAUAAAAGCACACACACAUGUAUUUGCUUUAGUUUGAGUGCUCUUCUCAUGCAGCAACUCACACUUGCACAACAGGCUGCACAGGGUCACUCCAGUGACUGCUAACUUUGAUGACAAAAAAAUGCCAAGUCACAUAUCCUGUGCUAAGCACCUUCACCUAGGAUAACACUUCUUGCUAUGGUCCAUGGAAUUUGAAGGAUUUUAAGUGGUUUAUACAGUGUGUUUGUUGCUGAAAGCAACCCAAAUGCUAAUACCAACAUCUCUACAUAUGCUGAGUUACAUUACACAUCCUUACCCAUGUGUGACCUGGCAAAUAGAAACUGAAAUACCCAAUAUUAAAAUGUUCAUGGGUUCCAUGGAGCAGGCUGUAAUUCCAACAGAAAGUUCAAACUUGCCUGUCUGCCAGCACCAGCCACUGCUCUGACAAGUUAUAGAGGGUUGGGGUGCUUGUACGUCCCUGACCAGGAGAUUAUUUUUGGGCACUUCCCAGACCUUUAUUUCAGGUGCCAAUAAAGGCCAAAGCAGGACACUCCCAGACCAUUAAAAACAGCAACUGUGUUUACAGAGCCAGCACCUCAAGGGGAGCCAUCAAGAGCGAAAACACACAGAGCACAUGCCCCGAGAUAAGGGGCUAUCAAGUAGAGGAAUUUUGGAUUACGCCGUGGCUCGUUAUCUCCAUGUGCACACAAGGGCUGACACAAUCCAACACUGCUGCCAAAUCUCCAAACGAGCUAAACACGCACUUACAAAAAACCCACACAAACCCCUUGUGUCCAGAAAAAAACCCAACAAAUUAUCUUCAGAGCUACAUUUUAACUCCUGCCCUGGGAAGCGCUAGCCAGCCCACACAUUUAUUCUUUUGAUGGAUCUCCCAUUGAGGAAACCCAGUGUUUGAGUGCUUCCAGCUUCAGAGUUGUCCUCUUCUGGUCCUGCCAGGGUCCCACUGGAUCUCUCAGCAGAGACUGCACACUGGAUAAGCAGCAGUGGGAUCCCCAGCCCUGAGGUUGACACAGCUCUUACAGUGUUCCCAGCAGGACAGGACACAGCUAAGAGCAAUCUAUGUAUAGCAGUGGUAAUCCCUGCAUGGCCUGCCUUAUGAAUGGAAAGGAGAAAGCUUGUUAAGUCGCUGCUCCAGAUUAGAGAACACUGACCUUUCUGACGGACUGCCAAGAGUAUUCUCGCUCUUCCCACCUGCAUUGGGCUACCUGCAGACACCCAGGAGGACAAGGGUAAAGCUUUGGGAUGUUCCUGCAGUUGGAAGUGUGCGAGUUGACCAUUCUUCAGCAGGUCUCAGUAUGAUCCCAUCUGUCAAGAGGCUGAGUUAUUAAUAUAACAAGGACAAAAAAAUAAUUUAUUGGUUUUUGGAAGCACUAGCUUAGAAACAACUGUCAAAGGUAAUUUGCACAAGAAAUCCAGAUCCUAAAUCCUGUUUACAACAGGAAGAUAUACCUGUCAGCUUUGUUUUUCCAAGACCUGUUUUAAAGAUUAAGCUGUAUUGUUUUUAUUCCUUAUGGGCAAGACAACAAACAGAUAUGAACUGUUCUUGGGCUUCACUAGGUAAAAUACAGGCAUUAGGAGAUUAAGAAAGCUACUCCUCAUAUUUAAGCAUGCUUUUUAGCAGCUGCCAUUUCUUCUGCAGCCCAGGAGACAUUCAGUGAUUUCAGUGCAUCCUGAGUGGGAGCAUCCCUGUUCCGCUAUCAGUGCCCUGUGCCUCACCACCCUCGGCGCUCACACUAAUGAGUUUCCUGCUCAAAAGCAGAUUGAGUACAGCUCACUGAUAGCAACAAGUUCUCAGUAAUUAAAGCCAAAAGAAGCCCAAGACUGCAUUUACACUGAAUCACAUCAAAACCAUGUCUUUGGUAAAACAAAUGACUUCACAAAGGAUCUGUACCAUGAAGUGCCCAGCACCAAGCAGGCCAUUUUCAUGGGUGGAUGAUUUCAGCUCAGAUGUUCCUUGAGAGGCAGUGGCAGAGAAGAAAGACACUUUGCAUCACCAACAUAGGGUUUUCAUUCUUGGCUGAUGAGUCCUUGACUUGAAGCAAGACAACAUCAUUCUGACUACCCUCAUCACUUCCAGCAGAGAAGAGCUUUGAGCUGGAAUCCCCAAACCUGCAGCAUCCCCAAACCCGCUGCCAGGCCUCCUGUAUCACUCUGAAAAGCUGCAGAAUCCAUCCACAGGUAAAAUCAGCUGCAAGUACAGUUGAUUGUGCACAGACUACUCCUGCCUGGAAAGCUCAGGUACUAUAAAGCCUCCAGACUAUCUAAAUUGAGGAGGUCAAAUAACCUUGGUGUUGGAAGUGUCUCGGAUUGCCUGACCCAGACCCUUUCACAGGAGUGCACAGGAUACAAGGACUUAAGAUGUUCUGAUCUCCAAAUUUCCCGCUAACCAUACAGCUUACUCCUGUAAUAUACCUGGCUGGGAAUGUCUACAGGCAGCUAUAAAAAAACUAAUCUUGGACACGUGUAAUACACCUGCAGUCAAGAAUAUGAGAGAAAUCUGGUGAAGCAGCCUGGGGAGGAGACUGCGGCCUUAACGUUUCAGCUGACUUUUAAAUGAAGUUCAGGUUUAGAAUAUGCUCAUUUUCAGCCUCGAGCAGCACAUCCCAGUCUACUGUUCACCUCUGAAAGGUCAAAGCUUGCCAUCUUUGACAGAGCUUGCUGCUUCUUGAAAAGCACCAUGUGCCCAGCUUAUUCCAAAUUAGGUUCAAAAUUUAAAGUAAGACUUUUUAUUUCAUCCAUUUCAACAAUAUCUGUUUAUUAGCAGGGGAGUCUUUAUAAAAAUAUUUAUAUUUCUUGAAGUGACCACAGCAGCUAAGCUGACAGUAGGACAAAACAACACAUUAACUACCAUAACUAUAAAAUCCUGACGAAGCAUUUCUGCUCUUCCACCCACAGAACUAAUCUGAUCACACCUAUGUCAGCAAUUUGGCAUCCAAUUAACACUCAAAAACAGAGUAGGUCCAAAGUGUUGCUGUUAUCAACUACUGUUUAAACUCCCACUUUCAAAAUGACCUAAAUUUGCUGAUAAAUCAGAAAUGACUGAGCUAUCACGAACACUCAGUUCAGCUCCCUGACCACUGAACUCCAAGGACAUUAAAGCAUCAGUCACAAAUAAUUUAGUCUCUGUGUUUAUUCUUAGGCACAGCAAAAUGCAGCAAAUUACGGCAAAACCAGCUGCUUUUACAUUACACUGUAACAAAACCUCAGAAGCACAACAAGCAUUGACAUUCAGGGCUGUUGUUUCCAUUUUUAAUGCUUUCAUAACCUGGCUAUUUCCAGGGCUCUCUGCUAUCUGUGUUUUCCCAAAAAGCUCUGUCAGUUUCAGACCCAGCUGCAGAAAUUCAUUAAAAAUCUGUGAAUGCCGAUUUGUUCCCUGUUUGCUGCCUCCCUCCACUGCUUUCUGUGAGGCUCGUUCUUUAAAAGAACAAAAGAACAGAGCAAGAUGGAAAAGGAGAAGGGAAGAGGGAUGGCAAGCACAUCAGGCAAGCUGGUAUAACACAGCAUUGUAAUUUAAGAUCCUGUAGACAGAAGACUCCUUAGGAAAAUGAAAGUGGAAGGUUAAAGUCAUUAAGUUUACAAUGCUCAGCCAGUACCACAAUGAAACUGAGCAACCAGAUUUGAAUGGUGCCUCCUCUGCUAAGUUUCCAUCCUAAAGGACCUGACAACUAAGGAGGAACUCCAGGGAACUCCAGGUUACAUCAGGUGAGCAGAUCUCUUGUUCCCUGGGCUGCAGUGCAGAUCCUGCCUGUUACCAAUAACUAACCCCCAGCUCGAGCAGAGGUGCUGUCACGCCCUGCCCUGAGCCAUGCUGGCCGGUCUCAUCAGCUUCUUGCAACCUCUCAAUCAAGUCAAACAAGAUCAAGUUUUGUAAUAAAACUCUGCCCAAUGAUACUGUCAGUAGGUAGAGAUAGAGAUAUGAUAGUAGAUAGAGACGUCCAUGAUUGGGGCAAGUCCCAGCACGAUGAAAUCCCCAGACAUGGCACAAGACUGGUCAGUGAACACAGACAGAGGGAGCCUGGAGACCCUGCAGGCAGUGAUCCUCACGCAUCUGAGGAAAAUUCAAAGCAGCUCUUGUCAGUGACUCAAAAAGGACUCUGAAGAGAACAGCUGCCUAAAGUGGGCUCCAAGGAUGAAAAGCCCAGAAUGGCAGUGCAGAUUCCGCUUCCCCCUUCUCUCCGCCAACCUCACUCGCCUGUACCUCUGCAUGAUGCAGGCAGUUAAUUAUCUAGAAUAGCAACACUGCUGUAUGGCAAAACAAUUCUCAGAUUCCCAUCUCCCAAUAAGACACAUUUUGUAAUUGCUGAUUUUGGAAUCUCAGAUUGCAAAUAACUCACCCAACACAGAAAGGGAAGGAGUAAAAGCACCACUGUCCUGCAGGACAUUCCUCCAGUGAUUCCUUGAAUCAUUCCUUGUGUAUUUACAACAAGAAGAGAUGCCUCUGCUCAAGGGGGAUGAAGAAAUACUCUGCCACAGACCAAAGCAUGAAACUGUCCAGUGAAAAAUAAAGUGCCAAAUCCCUCACCCUGGAAGUUGACAGUGAAACUGUCGUUAUAGAGGGAUGGUAUAUUUCACCCAUGGCCAGUGUGACUGGGAUGUGGUACAUUGGAUCUAACACAUCUCCACAGGCAGCACAAAACUGUCCUUUUGUCAGAAGAUGUGUGUGUCCAUGUAAAGAUGUGGAUCUUCUGUCUGAUGGUUUCAGCGGAUGCUUUUUCUUUCAAGAAGAAAACCAGAUGAACUCUCACUCCAAAUCACUCUCAAAAGUAGCAUGCAAACUGAUCAAUACAAUAUACCCUUCCAGCCAAAUCUUCCAAGCAAAAAAAUCAUGGUUUAUUUUGUCAUUACUCAGACAGAAGCCUUUUGAUUCCCUUGACUGCCUCUUGCAUUUCGCUCUACCUUUUAUUUCUGAUUCAUCAUUCUUUUCAGCCGGAUUGAUUCGAAUUACUGUGGUGGAACAACUCAAACCUGAUGCCAAGGAAAGAGGCAGAAAGGACAUAAAAUGAGAGGAUCCUAGGAAUAUUUUCUUAGUGUCCUGUUGACUUGGCAUGGGAAAGGGGAAGGAUCAUCUCUCCAGAACUCCAUACACACAGGCACAACGAAAGCCAUAUCCACAAAGGGAACUGUGCUUUGAAACUCUUAAUGCAAAACUUGCCCUCAAGAGCUUUGCCUACAAUAUUAAAGCAAUGAAAUUAAAUCACACAGCACCUCCUGUGCUGGCUUUUGUGGACCAGGAGUGCUGGGUAGGAACUGUUCCACAGCAACACCCUCACUCCAGGCUUUCCUGCUCAACAAGCGGCACACAACUGCACAAUGCAGGGCACCCAGCUGGGAGCCACAGCUUCAUUUUUCCAACAAACAAGGAGGGAAAGGUCUCCUCCAUGACAAGAAAAGCAAUGAGCUGUAAAUAAGGGUUCAAAAGGAAAACACCCCAGGAGGGACAACACAUGAGGACCCCCCCACAUUACUGACAAACAGCUACUUCUCUUCAAAUUCACCUGAACCCCCAAGCUGGGGGUUCUCCACUGUGAAGUGCACACUGAAAGGGGAUACCCAUCAACUGCAUUAGCAAACUGCCCAGCUUUCAAGCACUGACAACAUCUCUAUUUCAGCUCACUAACAAAGCUCUCGAAGCCGCUGUAAAGACCACAGAGACUUAAAGCCUUUGAUACAGCUGCCUAUCUGCAGGCUCAGAGGGCCAGCUCACUUUACAGAACUGUUUAUGCAAGAAACGGCCUGAAAAGAGUUCUUUCAGAGCUCAAAUCCCCAAGAUCUGAGCAAGAGCCUGCCUUCCAGUUGAUUAGAAAACCAGCACUUUCAGCCUGACAGAAGUCCCUUGGAAAUGCAAUGGUAAUCCUGCUCUGAAGGCCAGAGCAUCCUCCCCCGAGGCUGACUCCAAGUUCCCUGUGCACAAGCAUUCAUUAAUACAAGUUGCAGCGACAAGCAGCACAGAGCAGGAGAAGGCACGACACCAGCAGUGUGGCCGGAGUGCACGGAGGAAGCGUCCUGCCUAGCAGUGACCCUGUCAGCUUCAUCUGGAAACAGAGAAAUGCAGAAACUGGGCUGGGGAAAAGCAGAAGGCAAG